UACCGAGGAUGCGAGCGUUAUCCGGAUUUAUUGGGUUUAAAGGGUGCGUAGGCGGUCCGUUAAGUCAGCGGUAAAAUUGCGGGGCUCAACCCCGUCGAGCCGUUGAAACUGUCAGACUUGAGUUGGCGAGAAGUACGCGGAAUGCGCGGUGUAGCGGUGAAAUGCAUAGAUAUCGCGCAGAACUCCGAUUGCGAAGGCAGCGUACCGGCGCCACACUGACGCUGAGGCACGAAAGCGUGGGGAUCGAACAGG
rnacentral:rRNA from 1 species